CAGCCCGAGCCAAGGCCCCAGCUUCCCGUGUACCAGCCCGAGCCAAGGCCCCAGCUUCCCGUGUACCAGCCCGAGCCAAGGCCCCAGCUUCCCGUGUACAAGCCCCAGGCUCCCAGUGUUCAGGCCAAGCAGCAGCCCCAGGCUCCCAGUGUUCAGGCCAAGCAGCAGCCCCAGGCUCCCAGUGUUCAGGCCAAGCAGCAGCCCCAGGCUCCCAGUGUUCAGGCCAAGCAGCAGCCCCAGGCUCCCAGUGUUCAGGCCAAGCAGCAGCCCCAGGCUCCCAGUGUUCAGGCCAAGCAGCAGCCCCAGGCUCCCAGUGUUCAGGCCAAGCAGCAGCCCCAGGCUCCCAGUUUUCAGGCCAAACCGCAGCCCCAGCAGCCUGCGUACCGUCCCAAGCCCCAGCAGCCUGCGUACCGUCCCAAGCCCCAGCAGCCUGCCUACCGUCCCAAGCCCCAGCAGCCUGCCUACCGUCCCAAGCCCCAGCAGCCUGCGUACCGUCCCAAGCCCCAGCAGCCUGCGUACCGUCCCAAGCCCCAGCAGCCUGCGUACCGUCCCAAGCCCCAGCAGCCUGCGUACCGUCCCAAGCCCCAGCAGCCUGCGUACCGUCCCAAGCCCCAGCAGCCUGCGUACCAGCCAAAGCUCCAUCCUUGCGCCUACUACUUCCGGAAAUUCUCACCCACCAAACGAAAGCACGACGUGGGAAACCGGGAGUUGCUGGCUGUUGUGUGGGCACUCCAAAGAUGGAGACACUGGCUGGAAGGAGAACAACUACCAUUCCUCAUUUGGACCAACAACAGAAACCUGCAAUACCUCCACUCUGGUCGUCGCCUCAACUCCAGGCAAGCCCGCUGGUCCCUUUUCCUUCAUAGAUUCACCUUCCCCGUCUCCUGUCGUCCCGGCUCCCGCGACCUCAAACCAGACACCCUCUCUCGGACCCACUCCUUGGUUACCCCGGACCCCAUCCUCCCUGCCUCCUGUGUCGUCGGCUCCACCUCUUGGGAGAUCGACACCAUCUUCCCUGUCUCCUUGUUACAGCCUGUUGCCUUGUGCAACCUGAGCCCUCCUUCCGUCGCCCCUCCACCCCCCCGGUUGAUUGACGACCACCCUGCCCUCACCGUACGGAAAAUCCUGGAUGUGCGGCCUCGGGGGCGAGGCUUCCGGUGUCUUGCGUACUGGGAGGGGUGCGGUCCGGAGGAGCGUUCCUGGAUCUCCCCCUCCCUCAUCCUGGACCACCAACUCCUUGAGGAUUUCUACGUCGCUCACCCCAACAAGCCCAGCAGAACGCCAAGAGGCGUUCGUUAAGGGGGGGGUACUGUGGUGAGACGCCUCCAUCUUGUUUUAUUUUGGCUGGACUUCCUGUGUUUCCUUGUUUGUCUGGUCUGGCUUCACUCUUUUCCAGAGCUUCCUCCCCUCCCCCGGCGCUGAGGCUGAGUGAGACUACACACCUGCUCCACAUCUCCAAUCAAGGCACUUUAAGGAGCCUGCAGCCCUCAGCCUCAGGGCCUGAGUAUUGUCUACCCUUCCUAGCGGUACAGACGUGUCUCCUGGCCUUCCUUGUGGUAUAACCUUCAGAACUUUGCUCCCAGUGACUAUUUUCAUGUUCAUUAACUCCCGUCUCCUCUGGUUUUUUCCUGCAGUGUCUCCAGCCCACAAGACAGCCAGCUAACCAGCCCUUCGGACUUCCUCUGUUUGCACUAUCUCCCCUUUUUUGGACAUUAAAAGUCUCUUUAAGUUGA